rnacentral:rRNA from 1 species
UACGUAGGGUGCAAGCGUUAAUCGGAAUUACUGGGCGUAAAGCGUGCGCAGGCGGUGAUGUAAGACAGGUGUGAAAUCCCCGGGCUUAACCUGGGAACUGCAUUUGUGACUGCAUCGCUGGAGUGCGGCAGAGGGGGAUGGAAUUCCGCGUGUAGCAGGUGAAAUGCGUAGAUAUGCGGAGGAACACCGAUGGCGAAGGCGGCUCACUGGGAUUUCUGACGCUGAGGAACGAAAGCCAGGGGAGCGAACGGG